rnacentral:ribozyme from 14 species
AAAAUCUUCAACAAGUGAGAAAGGAGGAAAAAGAAGCUAAGAAGCAAGAAAAUCAGGAUCGAAGGGUAAGAUUUCGUUCGAUCUUUCAUUCUUAUUUUUCCAGUAUAUCUUUUUC